rnacentral:rRNA from 1 species
CCUACGGGAGGCAGCAGUGAGGAAUAUUGGUCAAUGGACGAGAGUCUGAACCAGCCAAGUAGCGUGAAGGAUGACUGCCCUAUGGGUUGUAAACUUCUUUUAUAUGGGAAUAAAACGUUCCACGUGUGGGAUUUUGUAUGUACCAUAUGAAUAAGGAUCGGCUAACUCCGUGCCAGCAGCCGCGGUAAUACGGAGGAUCCGAGCGUUAUCCGGAUUUAUUGGGUUUAAAGGGAGCGUAGGUGGAUUGUUAAGUCGGUUGUGAAAGUUUGCGGCUCAACCGUAAAAUUGCAGUUGAAACUGGCAGUCUUGAGUACAGUAGAGGUGGGCGGAAUUCGUGGUGUAGCGGUGAAAUGCUUAGAUAUCACGAAGAACUCCGAUUGCGAAGGCAGUUCACUGGACUGCAACUGACACUGAGGCUCGAAAGUGUGGGUAUCAAACAGGAUUAGAUACCCCAGUAGUC